rnacentral:rRNA from 1 species
AUUGAACGCUGGCGGCAUGCUUUACACAUGCAAGUCGAGCGGCAGCGCGGGGGCAACCCUGGCGGCGAGCGGCGAACGGGUGAGGAAUACAUCGGAACGUACCCGGAAGUGGGGGAUAACGCCGCGAAAGCGGCGCUAAUACCGCAUAUUCUGUGCGCAGGAAAGUGGGGGACCCGCAAGGGCCUCACGCUUUUGGAGCGGCCGAUGUCCGAUUAGCUAGUUGGUGGGGUAAAGGCCUACCAAGGCGACGAUCGGUAGCUGGUCUGAGAGGAUGAUCAGCCACACUGGGACGGAGACACGGCCCAGACUCCUACGGGAGGCAGCAGUGGGGAAUUUUGGACAAUGGGGGCAACCCUGAUCCAGCCAUGCCGCGUGCGGGAAGAAGGCCUUCGGGUUGUAAACCGCUUUUAGCCGGGAAGAAAAGGGCAGGGUGAAUAACUCUGUCAUUUGACGGUACCGGCGGAAUAAGCACCGGCUAACUACGUGCCAGCCGCCGCAGUAAAAC